CGGGAACCCGGGCUCGCUAGUGGCUCUGGUAGCCCCGCCAGCAGCUCCGCCUGAGGCCAGCACGCUCCAGGCACGAGAGGCUGGCUCCGGCCGCAGCUUUUGCUGGGUGCCAUGGCGCCCUUCUGGGAUGGAAGAAAACUGUCAGAACUAACUGCUGUGUAGACCAAGCUACCUGUGGACUCAGACACUCCGAAUGCUAGACAUAAAGGAAGACACAUGAUGGCACACUGCAACCGAUCAAGUUAACCCCCGGCACAUUACCAGAGGAUCCCUUCUUCAAUGGACUCAGAUCUAUUCCCCCUACUGACAAAGACCCUCCUCAGCAAAAAAACAGCUACAACACCCCUGCCAGACAUUCUCAAUAUCUUCUGAGUUAGAAAUGUUAGUUUCCCGCUGAAAGACUACAUUUCUCAGUUUCCCUUGCAGACUAUAGAAAUCAUUUCUGCCCAUCCCAUCUUCCUUUGUUGGUAUCUUGGCCAUCCAUACACAUGGGUGACAGUAUUUCCUCACUGUGAAUAAAUAUGGUCAGACUAAGCCUCUUAAAACAUCCAGCACCUCCACAGCUGCCUAACAUUGGUCAUGAUGUCUCUUAGCAAAAGAAAAGAAACUAAAACAGAAGUUGACACCAGGGCCUGGGAUAUUCCUGUGACAGGCCUGACCAUGCUGCUUGUUGGAACAAUGCGGACUCUGGGACUUUGAACUAAGAAAGUUGUUGACUGCUUUAAGCAGAGCUAAAUGGAGCAUCCUAAUGGAAGAGUUGGAAGAAAGCAGUGCUGAGAGCAAUGUAGAAUAUGGAGGCCCUGGCUCAAGAGGUUUCUGAAGGGACCAACAUUAGCAACUUGGCUAGAAACUAUUCUUGUAAUAUUUUGGCAAAGAAACAUGGCUUCAUUUUGCCAUGUCUUAAGACUGCUGGAGGCUAAAUUGAUGUUUUUUGACUAAUGGCAAUGGCAGAGAUUUCAAGACAGCCUAGUAUUGGCUAUGUCACAUGGUUAUUAGUGAUGAUUAUGCAGAUCUACAACAGAAAAGAGAAAAUGGGAAAAAAAAUGUAGUUUGAGGAGAAAAAGAAUACCAUGAAAUUUUAAUGUUGGAGUCAAAUCCUGUGCUCAAAGAGAUAUGAAAUUUAAGAAAGGGUUUAAGGAGAAAUGGAAUAAAGAAGUGGUGCCCUGUGGUAGUCUGAAUGUAAUCGGCCUCCAUAAUCUCAUAGGGAGCAGCACAGUUAGGAGGUAUGGCUUUGCUGGAAUGGGUCUUGCUGGAGGAAGUGUGUCACUGUGGGGGUGGGCAUUGAGGUUUCCUAUGUUCAGGAUACUGACCAGUGUCUCAGUCGACUUCCUGUUGCUUGCAAGCCAAGAUGGAGCCAGUACCAUGUCUGCCCCAUAUACUGCCACACCCCCAGACUAAAACCUUUGACACUGUAAGCAAGCAACCCAAUUAAAUGCUUUCUUUAUAAGAGUUGUUGUGGUCAUUAUGUCUCUUCAAAGGAAUAGAAACCCUAGCUAAAACAUGCCCCCAGAAAAAGACCCCACCCAGCUAAGCUUCCAACAUGUUAUUCAACAAAGGAAAGCACCAAGUCAAAGCUUAUACAAAUAUAAUUCAAGGAGGGGGGCAAGUUCCAGCCUGGCAGCAGAACUUAGCAGCUUUAGUGAAGUGUUCUGGCUUCCUCAACAAAAAUAUAGAAGCUGUGGAAAGGAAUGUCCUUCAAGGUUAAAGAAUACUGCUGAGACCCAGAAAGGUCAUUAUAUGAAAGUUAUAAAAGUGAAGCUUGGAUUAUGUUGAAGACCACAAGAUGUUGGAGAUGCAAGAGCCAUGAGAUAUCUUUUGCUAAGGAGAGCUGCACAGAGGACGUUGAACCAGCCCAAAAGACAGACAUUUGUUGCAGUCAACAAAGCUGAAAAGAGUGGGAGAUCUCAAGAACCCUGUGACAUCAAACACUUUAGGAUUUGGAGUUUGCCCUGCUAGAUUUCAGUUUUUCUUUGGUCCAGUAUUUCCUCACUAUACUUACCCAACCCUCCCUUUUGUAAAGUAUAGUCUGUGCCACUAUAUGUUGAAAAUAUAUAAUUUAUAGAUUUUAAUUUUACAGGGAACUAUAAGACACUGCCUUGAGUCUAAAAAGGCAAUUUUGGGAUUCUUUAGUGUUGAGGCUGUAAAGGACGAUGGGCACUUUUGAAGUUAGACUCUAAUACAUUUUACAUUAUGCUAUGGCUACAAGCCUAUAGGGGCCAGGGAGUGGAAUUUGAUUAUUUGAGUGAGAAUGGCCUCCACGGGCACAUAUAUUUGAAUGUUUGGUUCCUAGUUUAGGGAUUGUUUAGGAAGGAAUCAGUGUGACCUUGUUGGAGGAAGUAUGUCAGUGGAGGUAGGUUCUGGGGUUUCAAAAGUCUAUGCCAGGCCCAGUCUGUGUCUGACCCUUGCUUGUGGAUCAGAUGUAAGCUCUCAGCUACUGUUCCAGCAUCAUACUUUCCUGCCUGCUGGUAUUAACCCCAGCAUGAUGAUCAUGGACUAACACCAUGAAACUGUAGCAAGCCACCAA